ACGGAAGGCAGCAGUAGGGAAUCUUCGGCAAUGGGGGCAACCCUGACCGAGCAACGCCGCGUGGGUGAAGAAGGUUUUCGGAUCGUAAAGCUCUGUUGUAAGAGAAGAACGUGUGUGAGAGUGGAAAGUUCACACCGUGACGGUAACUUACCAGAAAGGGACGGCUAACUACGUGCCAGCAGCCGCGGUAAUACGUAGGUCCCGAGCGUUGUCCGGAUUUAUUGGGCGUAAAGCGAGCGCAGGCGGUUUAAUAAGUCUGAAGUUAAAGGCAGUGGCUUAACCAUUGUUCGCUUUGGAAACUGUUAGGCUUGAGUGCAGAAGGGGAGAGUGGAAUUCCAUGUGUAGCGGUGAAAUGCGUAGAUAUAUGGAGGAACACCGGUGGCGAAAGCGGCUCUCUGGUCUGUAACUGACGCUGAGGCUCGAAAGCGUGGGGAGCAAACAGGAUUAGAUACCCUGGUA
rnacentral:rRNA from 1 species